rnacentral:lncRNA from 1 species
AUCAUAACCUCGAGGUCUUGAGGGCUGGAAGAUUCACAUAUAUAUCUAUCAUUUUUCAGCCAUCAUAACCUCGAGGUCCUGCCACCUGAAAAUUCUUUGACUGAUGGAAUGAUUUCCACAAUGGAAUCACUCACGCAUAAAAGCCAAUUGAAGCAGCGGGAAAAAAUGAAGCAAAAAAAUUUAUUUCAAUUGAUGGGAUUAACAAUGGAAAUGGAACUUGGAAUCACUCCAAAGAACCACAAGGUUUUGCAUACAAAACAAACUGAUAUCUAAAAACUCCUGCCGACUAUUCAUUCUUGGCUAUCUCGAGAAUAACUACUGAAUACAUAAAAUCUAGGAAAAGAUAAGGUUCCAGAAAGUCAGGUUUCCUCUUCCAAAACGUCUCCUCUUCCGGCAUCCAUACAUGGAAUAUUUGCAUCACCAAUUCAUCUCUCAUUGCGACAUCAACUUUUCUGGUGAAUCGUUCACGCACGGGUUUAAAUAACAGCGCAGGAAUAUCAAUAUGCCCAGAUAUUAGUGCUCGAAAUCGAUUUUUGUGGAUAUAGACAUUCCAUAAACAAGGAUUGAGAUAGGAUUUGAGGAUUUCUUGUGUGUAAUGGAGAUUCUAGGGUUUUAAUUUUUCAAUUUUUGGUUUGAAAGUUGUAAUAGUGACCUGGGUAAUAGGGGUAAAUGUGGCAGGAGUAAUUGGGCAUAAAUGGGGGCGAGAUUAUGGGUUUGAGUUAUUGGGUAUGUUUGGAGGAAUGAUUUCAGCUUCUAAAUGGAUUAUUU